rnacentral:tRNA from 1 species
GUAUAUAUAAUUUAAUUUAAAAUACUAGGCCGUGGUCCUAGAAACGAAAGUUAAACCCUUUAUAUAAACC